rnacentral:rRNA from 1 species
GAUGAACGCUGGCGGCGUGCCUAAUACAUGCAAGUCGAGCGAACGGACGAGAAGCUUGCUUCUCUGAUGUUAGCGGCGGACGGGUGAGUAACACGUGGAUAACCUACCUAUAAGACUGGGAUAACUUCGGGAAACCGGAGCUAAUACCGGAUGAUAUUUUGAACCGCAUGGUUCAAAAGUGAAAGACGGUCUUGCUGUCACUUAUAGAUGGAUCCGCGCUGCAUUAGCUAGUUGGUAAGGUAACGGCUUACCAAGGCAACGAUGCAUAGCCGACCUGAGAGGGUGAUCGGCCACACUGGAACUGAGACACGGUCCAGACUCCUACGGGAGGCAGCAGUAGGGAAUCUUCCGCAAUGGGCGAAAGCCUGACGGAGCAACGCCGCGUAAGUGAUGAAGGUCUUCGGAUCGUAAAACUCUGUUAUUAGGGAAGAACAUAUGUGUAAGUAACUGUGCACAUCCUGACGGUACCUAAUCAGAAAGCCACGGCUAACUACGUG